GGAGAACAAGAGCACGCGGGCGCGGGAAAAGAAGUCACGGCCAGAAUCAACGAUAAACGAUAAUUACAACAUCAAUUCAUAUCUCUCUUGUUUCUUGAACCUGAGUUCCAGCCAAAAGACCAUAUUCACCAUGACAUCGAGGCUUUUCUCGACUGGAACCAAGGUAGCUUCUCGCUCUCUCCCACAGAAACAACGCACUUAGUUCUUUCUUUGUUAUUUUGUGCAGGAUUUAUAAUAGCGGCAAUGUCACUGAAAAUGAAUUUUACUUCGGUCACUGAUGCGAAUGAAGUCAUGAAAAGGCACGUAGGGACUAACUUGCAAUGCUUUGGAGGUUUUUUUUGGGUCAAAGACGACUUUGGAGGUUCAUCCCCAAUAAUAAGGGGAUAAAAGAUUGCGUUGUGGUAUUUUCUAGUUACUCAUUUCCUACAGCUUGCCGUAGGACGUGGUUAGGCAGAAUGAUUGCUCUAUAUGCAAUUCUUUGAAGGAAACAACUCUUACUGUUGAUUUUCUCCAUAUCUUUAGCAUAAUGUCAUCCUGAAGUUCGAGUUA